AACAUUUCUUUUGGUUUCAAUCUAUAUAAAAAGUAAAGUCUGCCCACUGUUUAAAAAAUAAAGGGCCGCGGUAUUAUGACCGUGCAAAGGUAGCAUAAUCAUUAGUCUUUUAAUUGGAGAAUGGUAUGAAUGGCUAAAUGAUUUUUUGUUUUGUUUUUUAAGAUAAUUUUUAGAAUUUUGAUUUUAAGUGAAAAUACUUAAAUAAAUUAAAUAGACGAUAAGACCCUAUAGAAUUUUAUUUUGAUUAAUUUAAAUAAAAUUAAAUUAAAGUUUGAAUGGGGAAUUAGUAGAAUAAAUUUAACUUCUUGAAUAAAAAAUAUUUGAUUAUAGUCUUUAAAAAUUAAAGGAUUUAUACAAAUUACCUUAGGGAUAACAGCGUAAUUAUUUUUAAGAGUUCAUAUCGACAAAAUAGUUUGCGACCUCGAUGUUGAAUUAAAAUACCUAAAAGGAGCAGAAUUUUUUUAAGGUAGUCUGUUCGACUAUAAAAUUUUUACAUGAUUUGAUU
rnacentral:rRNA from 1 species